GUAAAUUGCAAUACUUACAACACAAAAGGGUGUAGUUAAGUGACUCAGGUGUUAUGACUGAACACCACAAAGUAUAACUAUUUCAUCAGACAAGGUACUGAGCCGAUCAAGACAGUACAACAGUCUCACGUGGGAGUUUGACAUUUCGAGAUGACAGCCUUACAUGAAAUCCACCUUUCAUCUGACUGAACCAGAAGGGAUGUUUAGAAAUAAAAUUAAAAUGAAAAUUGAAAUGAAA
rnacentral:lncRNA from 1 species